UGAACGCUGGCGGCAGGCCUAACACAUGCAAGUCGAGCGGAUGAAGGGAGCUUGCUCCUGGCUUCAGCGGCGGACGGGUGAGUAAUGCCUAGGAAUCUGCCUGGUAGUGGGGGAUAACGUCCGGAAACGGGCGCUAAUACCGCAUACGUCCUGAGGGAGAAAGUGGGGGAUCUUCGGACCUCACGCUAUCAGAUGAGCCUAGGUCGGAUUAGCUAGUUGGUGGGGUAAAGGCCCACCAAGGCGACGAUCCGUAACUGGUCUGAGAGGAUGAUCAGUCACACUGGAACUGAGACACGGUCCAGACUCCUACGGGAGGCAGCAGUGGGGAAUAUUGGACAAUGGGCGAAAGCCUGAUCCAGCCAUGCCGCGUGUGUGAAGAAGGUCUUCGGAUUGUAAAGCACUUUAAGUUGGGAGGAAGGGCAGUAAGUUAAUACCUUGCUGUUUUGACGUUACCAACAGAAUAAGCACCGGCUAACUUCGUG
rnacentral:rRNA from 1 species